rnacentral:lncRNA from 1 species
GAAACAGUGGAAGAGCGUCGUUAGUGCGCAGAACCACCUGCUUGACUCACGCCUUCCAGGAGUGAGCUAUGGGUCACUUCUGAAAGACCCAGGUCCAUAAGCCCCAUCCAUGCCACCCCAGCCACCUGGUCUACCAGCAUUUCGGGCGCCUUUUCCUGACACCCGAAUCCUGAAGAAGCUGCCUGGGUCCCACACGUGUCCACUGGUGCCUGAGGUUAGACGUUCAUGUUGUCUUCUGUUUGACCUGCCGUCUUGUUGGCUCUACUAAGCCAGGAGUGAUGUAUACAAGCAAACAUUUCAGUGAACCAGGGGGAAAGGCUCUUGGCAAUAAAAACAUUUUCCCUUAUUUCUUGUCAACAAAUACUUCUAUAUUUACUGUUUGGUUUUUUCAGAUCAAAAGAUACAGAACGUAACAGUUCUUCAGUAAGGAUGGCACAUCUCAACUGAAGUAAAAAGUUAUCCCUUAAACCCUCGCUGGAGAACAUGUCACAUACAUAACCCCAUGGAAUGGGUCCUUGCGCCAGGCCCUUCACUCUGCGAAGUUGAAGGCAGGUGACGAGGGGGCAGGAGGCAGGGGACGAGGGGGCAGGAGGCAGGGGACGAGGGGGCAGGAGGCAGGGGACGAGGGGGCAGGAGGCAGGGGAGCUCUGGCCCACGGGGUUGCUUGUCCCACUGCAUCCCUGAAGAUUAAUUUAGAGUCCAAGAAGAGAGGCUGAGUCAUUAACAAUCGCCCUGACUUGUUGGUGCUAAAGAGCUGUCGAAAGUGACACGUGUUGAGAGGCCCUGUCUUUAUGUGAGGCCUUUGUUUGACACCUUCGCAUCUAUUUUCUCAGUUACACAGAGCAGACGUCGUUUCCAUUUACAGACGAGGAGACUCGAGAAGUUCCGUGAUUUCCUCAGGUUCUUGCUGGAGGCUGGUGGUGCUAAGAAGUGUAGUCUGCUGAUCAGAGCCCAAAGUCCUGCCCUGAUUUAGGGCUUCCCCACCCACGGGGGAGAUUCUCCUAAGGACAGGAAGUGGUUUAAAGAGCCACAGAGGAAAGACAAACCCUCACGGAAGCUCAGGGGACACAGAAGACAGCAGGGAAGAUGGAGGAUGGUGACAGGCUGUGCUCAGGGCCUGUCUGAACCUGCACCUGCCUGAGUCUGCUGAAGACCUUUAGACACAGGCAUGAGCCAUCACAGAACAGAGGCACGGACGCUGGAAAUGCGGCUAUAUUCCUGCAGGAGGCCACCAGUGGCAGAUUUAUGAAUUAUAAUUCUAGUUGUAGUUUAAUUAUAAAAGACAAGUGUGGUGACAUAUGUUAAGUGUUUUCCUAGGCUGCAAGAGUCAGUGUGUGAAGAUGCUGACGGAGCUUGAGCCCUCACACGUGAAUAUGAAAAGGAAGAUUCAAAUUCACUGUGACGAAGAAGCACUACUGUUUUUUUUUUUUUUUUUUUUUUUUUUUUUUUAAGACGGAGUCUUGCUCUUUCACCAGGCUGGAGUGCAAUGGCACGAUCUUGGCUCAUUGCAACUUCUGCCUCCCAGGUUCAAGCAAUUCUCCUGCCUCAGCCUCCCAAGUAGCUGGGACUAUAGGCGCCUGCCACCAUGCCCAGAUAAUUUUUGCAUUUUCAGUAGAGAGGGGGUUUCACCAUGUUGGCCAGGAUGGUCUUGAUCUCUUGACCUCAUGAUCCGCCCACCUCGGCCUCCCAAAGUGCUGGGAUUACAGGUGUGAGCCACCGCACCCAGCCAAGCACCACUGAUUUUUAAAAAGCAGAAAACUUUGAAGUUAAACCAUUUAUAUACUCCAAAUAAGUUCUCUUGGUACGUAUUUCCCAAGGACAUUUCUCUCCCUGGGUAAUGGUAGGUGUUUGGUCUUUGGUCACGAAAUUCAUCUGUAAUUAAGUAUGUGGCUCAUUUUAUUCAAAAACUGUAAAAGGAAAUUUAAUUAUUUUGACAUAAGAAAGAAAAGGCUUAUUCUGUGGCCUGAUUUGCUGAAAUGUAUUCAGUUUUAUUCAUGUAGGUCAAUGAUUGGUGUCUAUGUGGAAGACGAAGUGGUGUCUGUGCUGCCUCUCUUUAGGAGCUGCCAACAGGGAGCACCUCAGACCUGCACCUGUGGGGUGUUCCAUAUUGAAGCAGAUGAUAUUAUAGAUUAAUAAAAGCAAACACAACAGAAUGGGUACAAAAAACAUCAACAAAAUAGAUAAUUUGAGAAAAAUAUCCGUACACCUCCUAUUAAUGGCUCCCAGACUGUAGCUCUGAGAACAAAAUCCUGUUAUAUUUGAUGGUACAGACACGUUACUCAUAGAAGCAAUUCAUUCACUAUGGGUUUCAUGUUAUGGAAGAAGCCACUCUUCCUGGGCCAGGUACCUCUUCAUUUGGUUUAGGAAGAGAUGAAGAUGUCUGUCACUCUGACUGAUGUCCCCGUAUGUGUGGAAUGCCUGGAGUGGAGUCCUGCCUAGCACACGCCUUUCUUCUGCGUUCUUGGGCUCAGGACUUAAUCUCUGUGCCUCAGUUCCCUCCUCUGUGAAAUAGAAGUAAUAGUGGCAUGUGGCUCACGUGCAUGAAAUAAAAUGAGCCAUGAAAUAAAAUAUGCACAAUGCCAGCAGCAUAGUAAAUAUUCACUGAAUGCUACUGUUAUAUUUACCAUUAAAUAUUACGGAUUCAGAAAGUAUAUUUCUAUCAUACCAAAAAUUGUAAAAAAUAAAAUCAAGCAAAUUUUUAAAAUUUAUUUUCAUUUUUUUGAGAUGGAGUCUUGCUCUGUUGCCCAGGCUAGAGUGCAGUGGCACGAUCUCAGCUCACUGCAACCUCCGCCUCCCAGGUUCAAGCGAUUCUCCUGCCUCAGCCUCCCGAGUAGCUGGGAUUACAAGUGUGCACCACCACACCCUGCUAAUUUUUGUACUUUUAGUAGAGAUGGGCUUUUGCCAUGUUGGCCAGGAUGGUCUUGAACUCCUGACCUCAGGUGAUCUGUCUGCUUCGGCCUCCCAAAGUGCUGGGAUUACAAGCGUGAGCCACUGCGCCCGGCCAAAUCAAGCAAAUUUUAAGGAAAGAUUAACCAACCUCAAAGUCAUAUGUGUACAGUUAUUCGUACGGAAGCACUCAGUGCUGUGGGGCACAGAGCACGCUGAUGCGCGUGUGGCGUGAAAGAUGGUCCCUCUGCAAGGAUCGGCACCGUGGCAUGGGACCAGCCACUCCAAAAUGCCAGGACUCCUGUCCUGAGUCUGUAACCACUUUUAUCUCUAUUAUAAUUUAUUCUCCCAGCCUACCUCCUCAGUAUACGUUCUCUGAUUUUUUUUUUUUUUUUUUUUUUGAGACGGACUCUUGCUCUGUCGCCCAGGCUGGAGUGCAGUGGUGCGACCUUGGCUCACUGCAGGCUUCGCCUCCCGGGUUCACGCCAUUCUCCUACCUCAGCCUCCCGAGUAGCUGGGACUACAGGCGCCCGCCACCACACCCAGCUAAUUUUUUUGUAUUUUAGUAGAGACGGGGUUUCACCGUGUGAGCCAGGCUGGUCUCGAUCUCCUGACUCGUGACCCGCCCGCCUCGGCCUCCCAAAGUGCUGGGAUUACAGGCGUGAGCCACCACGCCCGGCUCAUUUUUUUUGUAUUUUUAGUAGAGACGGGGUUUUACGGUGUUGGCCAGGAUGGUCUCGAUCUCCUGACCUCGUGACCCGCCCGCCUCGGCCUCCCAAUCUGAUUCUUACUAGAACAACAACAACAACAAAUUUCGCCUGUUCCCAUAAUUGUAAUUAUUUGAGAGAAGUUUGGGAGUGUGGAGUAGAAAGAUCCUAUAGGCAGAUGCAAGAGGAGAAAAAGUGCAGUCAAAGCAUAUCAAGAACAAACCCUCCAAACAGAGAGGGAAGGACGGUGCUCACGGUGGCGCCGGGGAGAGAAGCCCCAAUUAACUGGGGCUCUGCACGCGUCUCUGGCCUUGGCAGGAAGGGAAGCUGGGGAGGAAGUGUGGGCUUCCUGCCGUUCAGUGCCUGGCCUGCUCUGCUGAGGGUAGAGACGUGCCAACGACGAGGGUGCCAACGACGGAGUAUGCUGGUGGUAGGGUCCUACAGCAAAGGGGUGGGCAGGUGACGUUCCCGACAGCUCUUCUGCUUGCCACACUCACUCCACUGUCACUUUUAUUUCUUCUAUUAAUGGUCUGAAAUUACGGUGACUGAUUUCUUCAGGGUCUCAUUCCUUCAUUCUUACAUGGAUAAGCUCAAUUUCAUUAAAUACAUCUCUUAGAAUAUAAAAUGAACUUCAAAUAUUACUGGACAGAAAGUUCAAAUAUUACAGGACAGGUUAAAUGAGAGCCACCAAGCAGAGAGUGUGCACCUAAAGGUGGACUUGCUGCCACAGAGUGCUCGCAACUGGGCCAGGGCCAGGCGCAGACAUGGGCUGGUUUUGAACUCCACACUUUGAAGGAUAAGACUGCAGCUUUGCAAACACAGUCCUGUUUUUGUAGAGACAGGGUCCUGAUCUGUUGCCGAGGGAUGGGGUGCAGUGGUGCGAUCACAGCUCACCGCAGCCUCGACCUUCCAGGCUCAAGUGAUUCUCCAGCCCGGGCAGCUGGGACCACAGGCACCUGGCGCCAUGCCCAAUUCUGUUCAUCUAUCCUAGGAAAAUUGAAGACUUUCUUGGCUCUGACUCCGUUUUCUAAUCAUUUUGCCUUGAAAUCACUUUAGACUUGCAGGGAAGCUGCAGAAGCAGCGCAGACAGCCCCAUGGCGCCCUCCAGCUCACCCGGGGCCACGGCGCCGUCCAGCUCACCCGGGGCCAUGGCGCCCUCCAGCCCACCCAGGGCGACACUCCAUGGAGACACAGACACGCACCGUGGCAGAGAAAUGGUGUGGAGGUCCUGGUUUUUCUCAAAUGUGCUUUUCCUGCCCAGGGCCCCACACAGGACCCCACGCUGCUCUGGCCGUGAUGUCUCCUGGGCUCUGUGAUCUGGCCAGCGCCUCUGUCUCCCCGUCCUUAAUGACCUGGCUGCUCCUCAAAGCUCCGGACAUGUCUUUUUGGAAUGCCCUUGAUUUCGACUUGUCUGAUGUCUUCUACUGAUGACACUACUGGGGAGGAUUUGUUGAGGAGACACGUGUCCCCUGCAGGGCUCCACAGCAGGAGGUGUGGUGGCCUCUCUCAUCCCUGGUGAUGGGAACUGUGACCCUGGAGUUCCACUUCCCUUGGAAGACCUCGUGACAGUGGCUGCUGCCUUGGUGCCCCAGCGGGGCCUCCAACUGCCCUGGUUCCUUCACCAUUUAUAACUGGAAUCCUCUGGUUGAGGAGGCGCUUUCUCUGCGUACACAUGGUGGAGGUGAAGAUAUCUGUGUGCUCUCUGGUUGAGGAGGCACUUUCUCUGCGUACACACAGUGCAGGUGAAGAUAUGUGUGCUCUCUGGUUGAGGAGGCACUUUCUCUGCGUACACACGGUGGAGGUGAAGAUAUGUGUGCUCUCUGGUUGAGGAGGCACUUUCUCUGCGUACACACAGUGCAGGUGAAGAUAUGUGUGCUCUCUGGUUGAGGAGGCACUUUCUCUGCGUACACACGGUGGAGGUGAAGAUAUGUGUGCUCUCUGGUUGAGGAGGCACUUUCUCUGCGUACACACGGUGGAGGUGAAGAUAUGUGUGCUCUCUGGUUGAGGAGGCACUUUCUCUGCAUACACACGGUGGAGGUGAAGAUAUGUGUGCUCUCUGGUUGAGGAGGCACUUUCUCUGCGUACACACGGUGGAGGUGAAGGUAUCUGUGUGCUCUCUGGUUAUCAUCUAGUCAUGCUGCUGUCUAGGUUGCUGUGCAGGGUGUUCAGUGCUAGCCCGUGGGAGGCUCAGCCUCUGACGCCGUCAGACCUGCCUCCCGCACCAGCCUCACUGAUUCUUGUUCAGCAGUUCCUUACUUUUUUGCUCCACAAGAAGUUUCAGGCUCAUCUUGUAUUUCCCUUGCCUCAGCCCUGGAAUUAACCCCUUCUCUAGGGCUCUGCGUGGUGGGGGACGGCACAGGGUCUCGUCCGCAUAAUCUGCAACACUGAGCUUGCUCACUACCGCCUGGUUCCUGAUUCUAGCCACUCGGUGUAUGGCCUAGGACUGUGUGUGUUUACUAAGUCAUGCUCACACAUGUCCGUGUUUAUUUCUUCAUCUAUUUAUUUAUCUCACAGAAACCACAAGCCCAAACUGAUCUGGGCUUCAAUCCAGCCCUUCAUUUCUAACUUCAUCGCUAACAGGGAGAAAUCUGCUUCUCAUUAGCUACCAUGCAUGGGCUUAUUGAUUCCUGUAAGAAGCAAAUGCCAAACGCAGCCCACGGUUUGCAGUUCUUUUUGUCUUCAGCCUUACAGUGAACCACAGUCAAACGCCUUUCCCAAGGCCACUGAAAAGAGCUCCUUUCUUCCCAGCCCACAGUGUGGUUCUGCGGUUCAUGGGCCGCUGUCUGCAUUCCUCCUCCCUUAGCUCCAUGCUGGUGCCGUCCAGCGGGCUCUGAGAGAGGCACGGUCAGGUGUCCGCCACCACCGCGCCAGACAGAGCAGCUUCCACACCCACACCCCCUCGGGAUGCCUCUCCGGUCACCCUCUACACUCAAACCUUUAGCGACCACGGACGGGUCUCUUCCCUACAGUUCUGCACCUCCCAGGUGUCCGGUAAAAAGAAUCAAUACCAGCUUUCAAGUCUGGCUUCUGCUGCACAGCAAAAUGCACAAUGUAUGAUCCAUCAUGUCAUGUGAGUCAGCAGUAACCCCUCACUGCUAAGCACAAUCCCACUGCCUGGUGGCAUGACACACAGGCUGGCCAUGUCCACUAGGAUGUCCUUCCAUCACACACAGGCUGUCCCUGUCCACGGAGAUGUCCUUCCAUCACACACAGGCUGUCCCCGUCCACGGAGAUGUCCUUCCAUCCACGCACAAGCUGUCCCCGUCCACGGAGAUGUCCUUCCAUCACACACGGGCUGUCCCCGUCCACGGAGUUGUCCUCCAUCCACGCAUGGACUGUCCCUGUCCACGGAGAUGUCCUUCCAUCACGCAUGGGCUGUCCCCGUCCACAGAGAUGUCCUUCCAUCACGCGGGAGCUGUCCCCGUCCACGGAGAUGUCCUUCCAUCCACGCAUGGGCUGUCCCUGUCCACGGAGACAUCCUUCUGCCCACUGGCUGAAGGGCACAAGGUUGUUUCCAGCUUCUGGCAGUUAUGACAGUGCUGCUGUGAACAUUCAUAUAUAGGAUUUAGUAUGAAUCUAAGUUUUCAUUUCUCUUGGAGAAAUACCUAGGAACAGGACUACUGGGUCAUGGGGUAAAUACAUGUUUACCUUUGUAAGAAAUGCCCAAACUGUCUUCCGAAGAGGCUGUAUCAUUCUCCCUUCACCCUAGCAGUGAAGGGGAGUCUCUGCUGCUCUGGACCCUCCCCAGCCUUUCACGUUGCUGGUAUUUCGGCUGUUCUAGCACGGGUGGGUACACGGCAUCUCACGGUGGCUUCAACUUGCAGUUCCCUGAUGAAAAUGGCACUGAGCAUCUUCACAGGCUUCCUUGCCAUCUGUGGAUUAUCUCUGGGGUGGUGUCUGUUAAUAUCUUCUGUCUACUUUAAAAACUGGGUUGUUCUCUUGUUGAAUUUUGGGGGUUUCUUAUAUACUAUAGAAACAACUCCUUUAUCAAAAGUGUGACAUGCAAAUAUUUCCUUCUAGGCUGUGGCUUGUUUUUUCAUUAACAGUAUCAUUCAGAGAGAAAAACUUUUUUUUUUUGAGACAAGGUCUCGCUCUGUCACCCAGGCUGGAGUGCAGUGGCUCAAUCACAGCUCACUGCAGCCUCCAACUCCUCAGCUCAAGCAAUCCUUCCACCUUAGCCCCCUGAGCAGCUGGGACUACAGGCACACAGCAACCACCAUGCUCAGCUCAUUUUUUUCUAUGUUUUGUAGAGACACGGUCUCACUAUAUUGCCCAGACUGGUAUUGAGCUUCUGGGCUCAAGUUAUCCUCCUGCUUCAGCCUCCCAAAGUGAUGGUAUUACAGGCAUGAUAAGCCACUGCACCUGGCCAAAACUUUUAAAUUAUGGUAAAGUCUAAUUUAUUAUUUUUUUCCUUUAAGGAUCAUGAUUUUGAUCUCAUGAUUAAAAACUCUUUGCUUAACCCAAGGUCAUGCAUAUUUUGUGUGUAUUUUCUUCUGAAAGGUUUAUAGCUUUACAUAUAGGUCAAGGGUCCACUUUGGGUGGAUUUUCACAUGAAGUGUGAGGUGGAGGUUGUGGGUCUGUUGCUCAUGGGCGGCGAAUUGUCCCAACAGCUGCAGACACAACUCUUCUCCUUCUGAUUUCCUCUCAUGUUUGCCAAAGAUCAUCUGACACAUGUGAUGUAUUUCUGGGCUCUCUUUUCUGUUCCACCGAUCUUUUUGUCUAUCCUUUUGACAAUAACACAUUGUCUAACUGAUUACUGUUUUACAGUAAGUCUUGGAAUCAGGUAGUGUGUUUUCCAACUCUGUUAUUUUCUUUUUUUUCUUUUCUUUUUUUUUUUUUUUGAGACGGAGUUUCGCUCUGUCGCCCAGGCUGGAGUGCAGUGGCGCGAUCUCGACUCACUGCAAGCUCCGCCUCCCGGGUUCACGCCAUUCUCCUGCCUCAGCCUCCCGUGUAGCUGGGACUACAGGUGCGCGCCACCAUGCACAGCUAAUUUUUGUAUUUUUAGUAGAGACGGUGUUUCACCGUGUUAGCCAGGAUGGUCUCGAUCUCCUGA